AUGUAUCACGCGGCCUUUGCGGUUCUGAGCGCGCCGUCCACGCCCACCUGACGAUUGCUCGCGAGGUUUUUUAGCC
rnacentral:sRNA from 1 species